GGGUUGUGAGGUUAAGCGACUAAGCGUACACGGUGGAUGCCCUGGCAGUCAGAGGCGAUGAAGGACGUGCUAAUCUGCGAUAAGCGUCGGUAAGGUGAUAUGAACCGUUAUAACCGGCGAUUUCCGAAUGGGGAAACCCAGUGUGUUUCGACACACUAUCAUUAACUGAAUCCAUAGGUUAAUGAGGCGAACCGGGGGAACUGAAACAUCUAAGUACCCCGAGGAAAAGAAAUCAACCGAGAUUCCCCCAGUAGCGGCGAGCGAACGGGGAGCAGCCCAGAGCCUGAAUCAGUGUGUGUGUUAGUGGAAGCGUCUGGAAAGGCGCGCGAUACAGGGUGACAGCCCCGUACACAAAAAUGCACAUGCUGUGAGCUCGAUGAGUAGGGCGGGACACGUGGUAUCCUGUCUGAAUAUGGGGGGACCAUCCUCCAAGGCUAAAUACUCCUGACUGACCGAUAGUGAACCAGUACCGUGAGGGAAAGGCGAAAAGAACCCCGGCGAGGGGAGUGAAAAAGAACCUGAAACCGUGUACGUACAAGCAGUGGGAGCACGCUUAGGCGUGUGACUGCGUACCUUUUGUAUAAUGGGUCAGCGACUUAUAUUCUGUAGCAAGGUUAACCGAAUAGGGGAGCCGAAGGGAAACCGAGUCUUAACUGGGCGUUAAGUUGCAGGGUAUAGACCCGAAACCCGGUGAUCUAGCCAUGGGCAGGUUGAAGGUUGGGUAACACUAACUGGAGGACCGAACCGACUAAUGUUGAAAAAUUAGCGGAUGACUUGUGGCUGGGGGUGAAAGGCCAAUCAAACCGGGAGAUAGCUGGUUCUCCCCGAAAGCUAUUUAGGUAGCGCCUCGUGAAUUCAUCUCCGGGGGUAGAGCACUGUUUCGGCAAGGGGGUCAUCCCGACUUACCAACCCGAUGCAAACUGCGAAUACCGGAGAAUGUUAUCACGGGAGACACACGGCGGGUGCUAACGUCCGUCGUGAAGAGGGAAACAACCCAGACCGCCAGCUAAGGUCCCAAAGUCAUGGUUAAGUGGGAAACGAUGUGGGAAGGCCCAGACAGCCAGGAUGUUGGCUUAGAAGCAGCCAUCAUUUAAAGAAAGCGUAAUAGCUCACUGGUCGAGUCGGCCUGCGCGGAAGAUGUAACGGGGCUAAACCAUGCACCGAAGCUGCGGCAGCGACGCUUAUGCGUUGUUGGGUAGGGGAGCGUUCUGUAAGCCUGUGAAGGUGUGCUGUGAGGCAUGCUGGAGGUAUCAGAAGUGCGAAUGCUGACAUAAGUAACGAUAAAGCGGGUGAAAAGCCCGCUCGCCGGAAGACCAAGGGUUCCUGUCCAACGUUAAUCGGGGCAGGGUGAGUCGACCCCUAAGGCGAGGCCGAAAGGCGUAGUCGAUGGGAAACAGGUUAAUAUUCCUGUACUUGGUGUUACUGCGAAGGGGGGACGGAGAAGGCUAUGUUGGCCGGGCGACGGUUGUCCCGGUUUAAGCGUGUAGGCUGGUUUUCCAGGCAAAUCCGGAAAAUCAAGGCUGAGGCGUGAUGACGAGGCACUACGGUGCUGAAGCAACAAAUGCCCUGCUUCCAGGAAAAGCCUCUAAGCAUCAGGUAACAUCAAAUCGUACCCCAAACCGACACAGGUGGUCAGGUAGAGAAUACCAAGGCGCUUGAGAGAACUCGGGUGAAGGAACUAGGCAAAAUGGUGCCGUAACUUCGGGAGAAGGCACGCUGAUAUGUAGGUGAAGUCCCUCGCGGAUGGAGCUGAAAUCAGUCGAAGAUACCAGCUGGCUGCAACUGUUUAUUAAAAACACAGCACUGUGCAAACACGAAAGUGGACGUAUACGGUGUGACGCCUGCCCGGUGCCGGAAGGUUAAUUGAUGGGGUCAGCGCAAGCGAAGCUCUUGAUCGAAGCCCCGGUAAACGGCGGCCGUAACUAUAACGGUCCUAAGGUAGCGAAAUUCCUUGUCGGGUAAGUUCCGACCUGCACGAAUGGCGUAAUGAUGGCCAGGCUGUCUCCACCCGAGACUCAGUGAAAUUGAACUCGCUGUGAAGAUGCAGUGUACCCGCGGCAAGACGGAAAGACCCCGUGAACCUUUACUAUAGCUUGACACUGAACAUUGAGCCUUGAUGUGUAGGAUAGGUGGGAGGCUUUGAAGUGUGGACGCCAGUCUGCAUGGAGCCGACCUUGAAAUACCACCCUUUAAUGUUUGAUGUUCUAACGUUGACCCGUAAUCCGGGUUGCGGACAGUGUCUGGUGGGUAGUUUGACUGGGGCGGUCUCCUCCUAAAGAGUAACGGAGGAGCACGAAGGUUGGCUAAUCCUGGUCGGACAUCAGGAGGUUAGUGCAAUGGCAUAAGCCAGCUUGACUGCGAGCGUGACGGCGCGAGCAGGUGCGAAAGCAGGUCAUAGUGAUCCGGUGGUUCUGAAUGGAAGGGCCAUCGCUCAACGGAUAAAAGGUACUCCGGGGAUAACAGGCUGAUACCGCCCAAGAGUUCAUAUCGACGGCGGUGUUUGGCACCUCGAUGUCGGCUCAUCACAUCCUGGGGCUGAAGUAGGUCCCAAGGGUAUGGCUGUUCGCCAUUUAAAGUGGUACGCGAGCUGGGUUUAGAACGUCGUGAGACAGUUCGGUCCCUAUCUGCCGUGGGCGCUGGAGAACUGAGGGGGGCUGCUCCUAGUACGAGAGGACCGGAGUGGACGCAUCACUGGUGUUCGGGUUGUCAUGCCAAUGGCACUGCCCGGUAGCUAAAUGCGGAAGAGAUAAGUGCUGAAAGCAUCUAAGCACGAAACUUGCCCCGAGAUGAGUUCUCCCUGACUCCUUGAGAGUCCUGAAGGAACGUUGAAGACGACGACGUUGAUAGGCCGGGUGUGUAAGCGCAGCGAUGCGUUGAGCUAACCGGUACUAAUGAACCGUGAGGCUUAACCUUACAACGCCGAAGGUGUUU
rnacentral:rRNA from 1 species